GAUGAACGCUGGCGGCGUGCCUAAUACAUGCAAGUCGAGCGAACGGACGAGAAGCUUGCUUCUCUGAUGUUAGCGGCGGACGGGUGAGUAACACGUGGAUAACCUACCUAUAAGACUGGGAUAACUUCGGGAAACCGGAGCUAAUACCGGAUAAUAUUUUGAACCGCAUGGUUCAAAAGUGAAAGACGGUCUUGCUGUCACUUAUAGAUGGAUCCGCGCUGCAUUAGCUAGUUGGUAAGGUAACGGCUUACCAAGGCAACGAUGCAUAGCCGACCUGAGAGGGUGAUCGGCCACACUGGAACUGAGACACGGUCCAGACUCCUACGGGAGGCAGCAGUAGGGAAUCUUCCGCAAUGGGCGAAAGCCUGACGGAGCAACGCCGCGUGAGUGAUGAAGGUCUUCGGAUCGUAAAACUCUGUUAUUAGGGAAGAACAUAUGUGUAAGUAACUGUGCACAUCUUGACGGUACCUAAUCAGAAAGCCACGGCUAACUACGUGCCAGCAGCCGCGGUAAUACGUAGGUGGCAAGCGUUAUCCGGAAUUAUUGGGCGUAAAGCGCGCGUAGGCGGUUUUUUAAGUCUGAUGUGAAAGCCCACGGCUCAACCGUGGAGGGUCAUUGGAAACUGGAAAACUUGAGUGCAGAAGAGGAAAGUGGAAUUCCAUGUGUAGCGGUGAAAUGCGCAGAGAUAUGGAGGAACACCAGUGGCGAAGGCGACUUUCUGGUCUGUAACUGACGCUGAUGUGCGAAAGCGUGGGGAUCAAACAGGAUUAGAUACCCUGGCAGUCCACGCCGUAAACGAUGAGUGCUAAGUGUUAGGGGGUUUCCGCCCCUUAGUGCUGCAGCUAACGCAUUAAGCACUCCGCCUGGGGAGUACGACCGCAAGGUUGAAACUCAAAGGAAUUGACGGGGACCCGCACAAGCGGUGGAGCAUGUGGUUUAAUUCGAAGCAACGCGAAGAACCUUACCAAAUCUUGACAUCCUUUGACAACUCUAGAGAUAGAGCCUUCCCCUUCGGGGGACAAAGUGACAGGUGGUGCAUGGUUGUCGUCAGCUCGUGUCGUGAGGUGUUGGGUUAAGUCCCGCAACGAGCGCAACCCUUAAGCUUAGUUGCCAUCAUUAAGUUGGGCACUCUAAGUUGACUGCCGGUGACAAACCGGAGGAAGGUGGGGAUGACGUCAAAUCAUCAUGCCCCUUAUGAUUUGGGCUACACACGUGCUACAAUGGACAAUACAAAGGGCAGCGAAACCGCGAGGUCAAGCAAAUCCCAUAAAGUUGUUCUCAGUUCGGAUUGUAGUCUGCAACUCGACUACAUGAAGCUGGAAUCGCUAGUAAUCGUAGAUCAGCAUGCUACGGUGAAUACGUUCCCGGGUCU
rnacentral:rRNA from 1 species